AUGAAACACCUUACCCUCUCACGAACUUGACACCGAUUUCUGACGAACAUAUACAUGCAAUCUCAUGGUUCCCUGCAACGCAGAUUGCGUUACUUGUCACGAUUGUGGUAGUUGUUGCAAUUGGGGUUAUUAUAGUUAUGAAGAUGUGCUGCAAAUGUAAAACCAAUACUCGCUCAGAACCCAAUGAUGAUACAUAUCCAUGUACAUACGAAAGAUCAUUCGCUUUAGAUGAGAGUAAUUCAGAACUGGAUAAGUGUUAGAAGAUAAUCAGACGAAGUCCAUAUAUCCAAUAGAAUAUACAGAUUUUAAGAAAAUAUGUCCAAAAACCUGGCUGGAAUUUAUAAUGUUUUGAAAAAAGCUGCAGAAACCAAAUCAUCUAGUACCGAGAAUAUAGAAACAAAAUCACAAUUUCCCAUGGUUGUAGAAACCAAAUAAAAAAUAAACAAUGCAUGAGAAUCCAAACUCUAAAAAGCUGAACUUAAAUAAACCAGAGAACAAAUAACCGCGACUCUAAAAAAACUCUAGUACCAAAGGCUGCAAAAUCCAGAGCAAAACUACCUGAUACUCCCGAAGCAGAACAACCACUAUCCCAGGCUACGGAUAUGAAAACACAGCUACCGGAGACCACAUAAUGUAUAACUGCCAAAUACUACGGAGUCCUUAACACAACUGUUAAAAACACGUGAAACCAGAAUAAGAUAUAUACCGGAACAAUUAACUGUAAAAGGUAAAGGUCUUUUUUAUUAUAGUGUCACCCCUAUUAAAAGGGCCAGCCAAUUUGGCUUAUGAGACACCUUUGCGUGUAUACCAUGUUCCUCCCAACUCCUAUCACUAUGCCAGGCGCGAGGAGGAUAGAAGUCGGUAACCAUUCAUUUUAACUAUCUCGCGGCUCGCGAACCGGUCAUUUCGGAACAAGUCCCAUGACAAACAUCCAUCCUUCGACAAACGCUCCCCAUGGGGCUCGAACCUUCGACCUCCCGAUCCCGAGGCGGACGCCUUAUCCACUAGGCCACGGCGACCGGUAACUGUAACUGUUAACUGUUAUCCUUAGUUAUGUCUAGAAAAAUCAACCGCCCAAUCCACCCCCUCUUUUCUCAACGACUGCCAAAUCACUGAGGAUUCGUCUCACAAGUAUCUAGGCUUAACUUUUCCUGACACAUUUUCCUGGCAUGACCAUAUUGAAUCGAUCAAGAAGAAAGCAUGGUGGCACAGAAUCAAUCUAAUGCGAACGUUUAAGUUUACUCUCGAUAGAAAGUUUCUUCUAUCGAUAUACACAACAUGUAUUAGACCAAUUCUUAAUUACGCUGUGAUAAAAUUAAUACACAAGAUGAAAUAUAACUGGAAAAUAUUCAACAGGAAGCAGCAAGGAUUAUCAGCGAGGGAACACGUUUGCCAUCUUUGCAAAACCUAUAUAAUGAAACUGCUCUCGAGCCAUUAAACAAUAGGAGAAAGAAACAUAAACUUACCCACUUCUAUUAAAUGUAUAAUUCACUAUCACCCCCAUAUCUGUGCACACUUAUCCCUUCUAGCGUGGGUGAAAGAUCGGCUUAUCCUCUUCGUAAUUCUAACAAUAUUCGCAGCAUUCAAUGCAAAUCACAACUGUUUACACGAUUUUUCCUACCAUCAACUAUAAACUUAUGGAACAAUCUACCGGUAUCGGUAAGAACGGCUCCAUCUCUCUCUGCUUUCAAAGCCAAACUUAGUAAAGAUAAAAAAGAAUUCCCCAGCAUUACUACGAUGGGGAGCGGGCGUCUUUCUACAUGCGCGCUUACAAAUGCAUUGUAGCAGUCUAAAUGAACAGUUGUAAGCGAACAAAAUUGUACAAAGUCCAUAUUGUCAAUGUGGUGCGAUUGAAGAUACAUAUCACUUUUUCUUCAAUUGCCCUAUUUAUACAGAAAAAAAGAGUUAUCCUUUUGAACAAUCUAUCCAGUUUCCACACAAUAACCUUGCAACUACUUCUUUUCGGGGUUAAAGACGGAUCAUAUGAAGAAAAUUGAAUAAUAUUCAAACAUGUUCAGUCUUUCAUCCGAGAUAGUCAUAGAUUCUAACCCAACUCUAUCUCAGGAACAAACCAUAUUCUGCUAACGAUGCCCCAUCACGCAACUGCUUCUUUUCUUAUCGCAACUUCUCUUAUUCUGAAACUCUACUCUUUCACUUC